AAAUUAACCUGCCGAUUUGACACAGCUUGCGGGCAUAACAGCUAAAGCGUUCCGACAAUUUCAGCU
rnacentral:misc_RNA from 2 species